rnacentral:rRNA from 1 species
CGUGUAGGCGGCCUUGCAAGUUGGGUGUGAAAGCCCUCGGCUUAACCGAGGAAGUGCGCCCAAAACUACGAGGCUUGAGUGCCGGAGAGGGUGGCGGAAUUCCCGGUGUAGAGGUGAAAUUCGUAGAUAUCGGGAGGAACACCAGCGGCGAAGGCGGCCACCUGGACGGUAACUGAACGCUGAGACGCGAAAGCGUGGGGAGCAAACA